GUGUGCGCUCGGACGCGUCGGCCGUCAUGGUCUGUACCGGUCGGGUCACACCCCACUGUAGGAUACUCACCGCUGUCCUUAACUGGAUGGUGGUCAAAGGUGUGUGUCAUGGGGGCAACUCUGUGGCAUACGCUGGGGUUCCUACUCUUUUACUUUGAGCAAAUUAGGGUGUUCAAAGCAGGCAAUCGAGCCUUGAAUACUUCAGCAUGGGAUAAUGGAACAGGACUGGGGUCCUGAUUUCGUUGGUUUCUGGGAUCUCAGUA
rnacentral:rRNA from 1 species